AACGAACGCUGGCGGCAUGCCUAACACAUGCAAGUCGUACGAGAGUUUUUAACUCUAGUGGCGGACGGGUGAGUAACACGUGAGAAUUUGCCUUUAGGAGGGGGAUAACAAUUGGAAACGAAUGCUAAUACCCCAUAUGCUUUUGAGUGAAAUGGAUUUUAUCCGCCUAGAGAGAAGCUCGCGGCUGAUUAGCUUGUUGGUAAGGUAAGAGCUUACCAAGGCGACGAUCAGUAUCUGGUUUGAGAGGACGAUCAGACACACUGGAACUGAGACACGGUCCAGACUCCUACGGGAGGCAGCAGUGGGGAAUUUUCCGCAAUGGGCGAAAGCCUGACGGAGCAAUACCGCGUGAGGGAAGAAUGCCUAUGGGUUGUAAACCUCUUUUUUCUAGGGAGGAAUAAAAUGACGUGUACCUGAAGAAUAAGCAUCGGCUAACUCCGUG
rnacentral:rRNA from 1 species